UACGAAGGGGGCUAGCGUUGUUCGGAAUUACUGGGCGUAAAGGGCGCGUAGGCGGUCUGAUAAGUUUGAUGUGAAAGCCCUGGGCUUAACCUAGGAACUGCAUUGGAUACUGUCAGACUAGAGGCCGAGAGAGGGAAAUGGAAUUGCGAGUGUAGAGGUGAAAUUCGUAGAUAUUCGCAAGAACACCAGUGGCGAAGGCGAUUUCCUGGCUCGGUACUGACGCUAAGGCGCGAAAGCGUGGGGAGCAAACAGG
rnacentral:rRNA from 1 species